UACGUAGGGUGCAAGCGUUGUCCGGAAUUAUUGGGCGUAAAGAGCGUGUAGGCGGCCAGAUAGGUCUGUUGUGAAAACUCGAGGCUCAACCUCGAGACGCCGAUGGAAACCAUGUGGCUAGAGUCCGGAAGAGGAGAGUGGAAUUCCUGGUGUAGCGGUGAAAUGCGCAGAUAUCAGGAAGAACACCCGUGGCUAAGGCGGCUCUCUAGUACGGUACUGACGCUGAGACGCGAAAGCGUGGGGAGCGAACAGG
rnacentral:rRNA from 1 species